rnacentral:rRNA from 2 species
CCUGAGAAACCCGAAAGUUCGAAUGGGGAGAUUCAGUGUCAGCGAUUUUGGUACGUGUGCGGUUCGCGAUGCCGGAGAUCUCGGUCUCAUGGCACGCGUCCGUAUGUUUUUUAUUGCCUGAAUCGUCGGCGUGCACUUCUCCCCUAGUAGGACGUCGCGACCCGUUGGGUGUCGGUCUACGACCCGGGCGGUAGCCUGUCUCGUGUGCGCUUCGCGGCGUUACGCGGGGCAGACCCCUGUGCGUCUGGCCGGCUGCUCGGCGGUACUCGCACGGUAUCUGGCCGCAAAUAUUCGAACUGCGUCCGGCCCGUCGCAAGCGAGGCAAGUGUUUCCCGGCUGUACGGAUCUAAUGCCGUCACCGGGCCUUGCCAGCUGUUGGUUGACGGUGUCCUAGGACUGGCCAAUAAAAUUAUGAUACCGGUCGGCGACGCUACUGCUUUGGGUACUUUCAGG